UGCGGCAAAAGACCGCGUUAGCCGGACCUGAAAGUCUCUCUCUCCCCCCGUGUGGAAGCUCGUCCGCCUCUGUGUCUUGGUGCAUACUCUUGGGUGAUCCUGCGCACACGUACGCGAACUGUAACACCCCACCACCACGCGGACGGAGCCUCUCUUCCUGUGUAAAGGCAAGCGGAGGAGAGAGAGAGUUUGUGAAUGGUGGCGGGAGGGCGUUACCAACACAGACACCAAUCUUGUGCCACACACGCUCUCCUUAUAGAGUCAUCGCAUCCGCGCUGGGGAUCGGAACGACGACGGCGAUAGGGCGCAGAGGGCAGGGGCGCGGUCGCACGCUUACUGAGAUCUCUUUUCUUUUUUUUUUUCGGUUGUACUUUUCUUUCGUGGCUUUCCCACCCUCGUAGCGGAACCACGUUUCAUAGGAAUGUUGCGGAGCGGUGCCUUAUGCAAGGCACUGUCGUCCCCGGCAAGCCGCCCCGAAGCAUCUGCAACGGUGUCUUCUCGCGGUAGCGCUGCCGACCACUCCAUACCUGUCAGUGCACCUGUCUUCAUCGACGCUUUUGAAGAUUUGACGACUGCGAAACCCUCGCUACAUAGGGAGCCCCAUAUCAGUAGCAGCAAGAGUCCCAACGAACUUGAACGCCGUCGACGGUGCUACCACGGCACGCAACCGUGUGAGCAGGUCCUUUUCACGCCACCAGUGCGUGAGACGGUUAUUAGUGAAGAGGAGGAGCUCUCUCUCUUGCAUGCACGGCGCAUGUGCAGCUCUGAUGCGCAGCUGGGGACCACGCAGGCAGCCUGCGCAUGGAGGCCUGCGUCGCCUGAAUUCACGGAUCUCGUCCCCUUCCUCGCUUCACAGUCACCGCUGGAGCCGCUAUGCUCAAGCGAGCCCGCUGCUGUUGCACCCUUGUCACUAAACGCCACUCGAAGAGCGUCUCCUCGAGAUGCUACCACCGACACUGCUGCUGCUCCCACGACUUCAGGGGAUUCCUCGAAGAUUACGAUGGCAACCGUGUCAUCACUCACAGUUCACACCGAUAGCAACACUGGCCGCGCGCUGCACUCGCGCACCAGCUCACUACUGUAUUAUAGUCCGCAUAUCCACUAUGACGGCAACAGCGAGAGCCUCGAGACGGAGGCUGCACUGCAUAGCAGUCACGCGGCGAUCUCGUCCUCUAUCUCAUGCUUUCACGCGUCCUCCUUGGUUACGCCACGUGCGCUGCCAUCGUACCCGCUUAGCUCUAGCUCCAGAAACUCCAUGGCGCUGACGAAGCUGCAGGCAGAGUCCUCCCGCAGUGAAGGCAAUCGUAGCUCGUCACCUACUGGCACGUGUGGCGGGGCUGCUUGUAUCAUCUCUGACGCACUCGCGCUCACCCACGAAAAACCUGAUCACCUUCUGCUGCGUGCAUUGGCCAGUGAGGAGGGAGCUUACGUGCCACCGCUCAGCACCUUCACCACAACGCAGUGCACCAUUCCACCAAUCACAGCACCCCAAGCGGAGAAGCAAAACGUGAACACUAAGAGCGGUUUUGCUCCAAGUGUGCCGUCGAUUCGCCUCCCCGUUGCCUAUUCUAUCCCCGUUAGCGAUUCGGAACGUAGCCUCGCCAGCAUCCCUGCUCUGGGGUAUGGCCCACGCAGUACUCCCAACGCCUGCUCCUUGACUUCUGCUCGUUCGGGCCCCUCUGCGCGAUCGGCACGUCACUCUAACCGCUGCACCUCAACGUUGCGCAACGGCGUACUAACGCUGAAGGAGCUCUUUCCUACUCUGCCCGAUGAGCUCUACCUCACGCGCGAUCGGCUGUGCAUCUCGCAUGAUAGCAAGCGGCGACUGGGGUCUGGUGCGUAUGGCAUCGUGCAGCAGGCAGAGCUCUACCCGCCAGGUGUCGAGGCACCGCGCAUGUUCACACCGACGUCGGAAAGUGCCGCGAGCACGUCGAUCCCCAGCACGCCGUGCUUCUCGCCAGCCAACGGCCGCGUCUCAAUUCAUAGCUUCUCAUCCAUCGCCGCUGCUGUCGGAAACCAUGAGAACGUGGCUGGCGCCAGCAACGGUGGCUACUUUGGGGCUGAGCAGACGGGUAGACCCGGGGCUAUGGCGCUGGCUGCCAAAACGAGUGGCAACAUCCACUUUCGCACAGUGUCGAUGUUCAGCAGCGAUAGCGUCACCGCGUCGGCCCUGCCACUGCAUCAGCAGCCGUAUAACGGGCAGACCGCGUCGUUCUACAACGGUGUGGAUGACAUGGUGCGGUGGAGCAGCGCUGUGGAGUCCGUGAAAGACCUGCCUUGGGGACAUGCGCUGAGCUUAAACAACGAUGCGACGCCGAACAUGACUACGGCGCAGGCCACCGUGCUAUCGCCGACGUCGGGUUCACAUGAGACACCGGCGUUCGAUGCAGUGAGCACUGCUUCGUCCGAGGGCCAGCACAGCGCCUCACAGUCUCCUUCCGUGGAGAGGCCCCUGCACUGCAAAACCACGGCGGCGACCACAAUGGACUUCAAUUGCCAGACACAGAACGACCUUCGACUGCCAGCGGUGCUGGGGCUACGCUUGGGUCACAAUCCUGACUUGCGUGUGAGCCCGCGGACGUCGUUGCUUGUCUCCUCAGGUCACCUCAGCGGUCGCGUCUGCGGCGCCGCCACAGCAGUGGACGAUGCAGGCGAGAGCACAGUGUGCACAGGCAUAUGCGAGGAGGGGCGCGACUGCCUCGCUAGCGUUAUCGAGUCUGUGCGUCCAUCCAGGGGCGAAGGGGAGGCCGUCGACGGAGAGACGGAGCCGGGGGCGCAGCACUCCAUGACCUCCAGAACUGGCAGGGGCGCUUUUGCGUUGCCCCACUCGCCGGUGGGGGGAGGUCGCGCCUACCGCAGCAGCAGCAUGCGCGUAUGGCGUCGCGUCGCGUGCGGGCGUGGGAAUGAGAGUGAGGGAUCGGGGCUGCGCACGUACCCUUCUUUUACUUCCCCAACCAUCCAGGAGGUCUCCAUGGGCACCUCAUCGGCCGCUGCUGUAGAGGGAAAGCAAACGCCCUGCUGCGAGAUGGUGGUGCCACCAGCCACUGUGGAUGCAUAUCUGCACCGUUUUCUGUCGCGAACCGCCGAUCUUGUCUCUUCCAAGUUUGUUGACCACGUCGACGCCGCUGAUCACACGGUGCGGGAAGCAGCAGUGGUGGGAGCCGACGCAAACGACAAGGCGCAGGCGGAGGGUUAUGGCUGUCUGCCAAGCGCACUGCCCCGUGCACUUGAGGAUAGGGAGGAAGGGGGGGAGUAUGAGCCUGCGGAGAAGACGAGUGCGACACCGGAGCGCCGAGGCCCCGAGUCGCGGCGGCAAAGAAUGCAAGAGAGUCUGGAGAUGAGCAGAUCCUCCUUUCUGGUGAGCAUCAGCUACGCUGAGCACGAGCUCACGUGCAGCGACGCAGGGGAUGAGACGCUGACGCUGACGGCGCAGCAGGCAAUUGAGGGGGCGAUACGGGAGGCCCAAGAAGAGCACCAGCACGCAAUGGAUCAGACGCCGGAGGGGACGGAGAAAACACCGGGAGCAGGGCUUCGCCUCAGACUAAAGGGACAUGACAUCAGCUGUGCAGGGUCGGAGGCGCAGAGUGAAAUGCGGUCCGAUGGUGAGGCGGCAACGACCACUUCCACCGAUGUCGUGUUGGCGGCAGCAGCGGGGGAGGCGGGGCGGAUGGCGCAGCGCUUUACGCACCUUAGCACAGGCACCUCAGCUCCAGCCUCCACCGCGAUGGCAAAGAGCACAAACGCCGGCUUUUUCGGCCCCCGCACACACGUGGGAGGCGGUGUCGGUGGGGAUGCGAUCCUUGGAGGGCACGUGACCCCCAGCAGCACCUCCAACUCAUGGACUCCGAGCGGUACGGCUCCCAUCGGUGCUUCCGCCGCUGCGUCGGCGAUGUCCGCAACAUCCAUAACGAGGCCCGGCAACCUUGGUGGCGCACUUGUCUCGGGCGGCACCAACAACACGCUGCAAUCAUCCUUUGAUUUUCCGCGUACCCCGGCCGUUCACCAUGACAUGAAACCGUCGAUGGUCUCCGAUGCACUUUCCAGCGGUGCGGUGCCGUUCCGCUCGGUCGCCACCAAGGUGAUCGAGAAGGUGGAUCUCACCCGCAAUGCCAUGAAGCUGAACGCGUUCCACAAUGAGCUGCGCAUGGCAAGUCGGCUCCGCCAUCCGUGUCUGGUGAACAUGUUCGGCGUUGCCGAAGAUGCCAAGCACUUCUACCUUGUCAUGGACCUCGCAGAGAAGGGCAACUUGGCGCAGUACCAGCAGCGGUUUGGGGUGAGGGCCACACGCGAGAUGGCGCCGCAAUUCACGGCAGACGUUGUACUUGCCCUCGAGUACCUUCGCGACGGGUCUCAGCACUCUUAUUGGGUGACGCCGCCCCCCGACAGCACAGAUGACAGCCUGCUGCAGGACCACAGACACUGCACAUCCCGGACGCUGGGGAUGAGAGGGUCUGCAGGCGAGGCGAGUGCCGCGGAACCGCGCGGCUUGCCCGGCUCCACAUCCGCACACCUCCUGCGUCAGGCCACCGAAAGCGCCUCAGCGGCAACAGUGUCGAAGCGACUGUCGCUGAGUGCUCCAACCACUCCUCCUCUGCCGUCACAGCAUACCGGCGCGACCGAUGCCACUGACAACGUUGGGGCGGAUGCGUGUAGUAGCGUCUCAGCCGUGAGGCUGGUUCCGCGAGAGUCGAUGUCUGAGUCGUCGGAGUCGCCUUUGCGCACCUCUUCCACAGCUUUCGGACAUGAACCCCCAGUGCCUGCUCACACCGCCACUCUCCCACGGCAGCAGGAUGACAACGGCAGGUCCGUCGCGCAGCAGGACAGCAUCAUCGUGCACCGCGACCUCAAGCCUGAAAACCUACUGCUCACCUGGGACUUUCACGUGAAGCUGGCCGACUUUGGCGAUGCGUGUUUCUACGGCGACAAUGAGGCGAACAACUUUGGCGGGACACCGUCCUACAUCUCGCCAGAGGUGUUCGCGCGCUGUAAGGCGAGCCCGUACAGCGACUUGUGGGCCUUGGGUUGCGUGCUGUACGAGCUCCUGGUGGGCGAGCGGCUCUUCUCCGGCUCGCUGGUCGAAGUCGGCACUGCUGUGCAGCAGUUCAAGCCCGAGGCGUUGAUUUUUCCUGACACGCUGACGUCCACGAUGGCGGAUUCGUUAACUGCGAAGGGGAGGGACGCACGGGAAAGAGGCACCGGGUCUGCUGCUGGUAUCGCGGAAGCUGCAAAGGACUUGGUCAGGCAGCUCCUUCAGCCGGUGCCCGAGGAGCGCCUCGGGUCGGCGGAGCGCGGCGGCUUCGACGCCCUCAAGGCACACCCCUUCUUUGCGGACAUAAGUUGGGACAAGGUGCUGCAGACGACGAACAUGACGACCACUAACACCAACUACACAGCAGAGCUGGCCGAGUACCUGGAGCCGACGGAGGCGGUGGUGUACUGCUCCCCGGUGAAGCUGCUGCCGACCGUGGAGGGGAGUAGCUCCAAGGAGCAUUUGAGCACCAAGAGCGGCGGCACCAACUCUCGCAGUACGCAGAUCGCGCUGGUGAUGGCGCUCACCGAUGCGCCUCGGCUGCUGCUGGUGAACCUUGACCUGCACAUGGUGCAAUUCGAGAUUCCAUGGUCGACGGAGCUGUGCGUCAGUGUCCUGCACACCGAGCGCUUCACCGUCACUGUCCCCUUCAGCGACGUUCUCAGGUCCCCCUCGAUACCUGUUCCAGGGUCAACGCUGCCGCCGACGACGACGGCAGAGACGAGCCCGAUGCACUCGAGCAGCAACUUCAGCGCGGCUGCGGCAAACACGAUCACCUACACCUUUUCCGAUUGCAACGGGCGUGCUGACUUGUGGGGCGUCAAGAUCCAUCACCUGCAGUCGAUGUGCUCCGCGAAGCUGGAGUCAGGCAGCGCGGCCGGAAGGAGCCUGCCGCGUCUCUACUCCACCCCAGUGGUCCCCACGGCUGGCGGGGCAUUUCAUUUGCCCCGGUCCAGUGCCUCCUCUCAGCAGCUGAAGCACCAAAGGCGCCGUGACACCCCCACUCUCUCUCCACGUGCAGGCAGACGCUUCCUGCAAUGGCCGCGCACAACCCCUCGCACCAUGCGCGCUGGGAGUCUUGGCAGCUUGACCAUUUCGAGCAACGAGCGCAGCAUUGGUGCGCCGCGCGACAUGCGGUCCACUGCAGCGACGGGCACCUGCGCAGCACUGAGCAGCGAUGCGUGCGGCUGUACGUUGUCGGCGCGCAUCACGCCGGCGACACGCACACGUGCCACCUCCUCCUCCCACCGCAUCUCUGUCUCGCAGUCGUCUGCCUUCACCGUGAGCAGCGCUGCAGCAGCGACACCAUGCACGCCGUCAGUCAUGCUGCAUUCAUCUGAUAUGCUACAGCCACCGUCGCUCACAGGAGCGGCGCUCCCGUCUUUCCAUCGCGGCUCCGCUACCGUGACCGUGACGAUUGCAUCCUCAAACACAAGCGACUCCCCACGCGGCUCUCUGAAUACCUGGAAGGCAAAUGUGGGCGACAGCGAGAGCGUCAGUAGUCUCAAGUCCCCGCUCGAAUUUGACUGCACGCAGAGCACCGCAUGUGCGCGGCCUGCUGCCCCUCCUCCACUGUGCAGUACCGCUAGCACAUCCGCCAACACCCCUGGAGUCUCUCCUACCAACACAACCGCCAUUCCUAUUGGUGGUGAGGACUCACCGCAGUGCGGUGGCAAUGUGAGUGAGGCGCGCUGGAAUGGGUACUUUCUGACGCCUGCCACAUCGACGUGCGCUUCGACGGGGGCCUUGCAUCCCUUGAGUGCAUCAGCUACGGCGACUUAUGCUUCCGGCUCGGUGCCGGAGAGUGCGCUGGGGUGCAGCAGCAGCGUUGGCAACGUCACACCCCACCUGGCGUUCUGCAGCGGGCCCAGAUGCGGGGGUGAAGGUCUUCUAUCUAACAGCUUCGAAGUUACCCACGAGGCGCUGAGCCAAGGCGAGGGCACGCCGGGCCCUUGGAACACGCCGACGCAGGCUGAUAGCACCACAGGCACCCCAGGCACCCCCGGCGUCUUGCGGUUGCCGAGUGUUUGCCGAGACAAAGAAGAAGGAGGCGCAGUUGGAGGUGGCGCGCCUAUCAUUGCCUUAGCGGAGACGGCACCAGCUGCGGCAGCUGCUGCCGCUAAAUUGCCGAUCAAGCGGUCACAGGCGCGUCAGCAGUAUCAUGGGGCGCAGAAGAUGAAGAGCAAGCCAUGCUCAGCAGCAGCAACAUCAUCGACAGCAGAAGCAGCACUGGAAAAGCGCUAGCCUCUCCGAUGCUUGUGCCUUUUCUGCUUCGUUGGUGAGAAAAGCGGUGGGGUGCACGUCGGUGUUGCUUGCUCUCUCACCUUUUGUUUCACUUCUGCGAAGACAGCGAAGAUGUGAGGAGGUGCCCCACCACGCCUGUCUACGUCUCGGUGAGUGGGUGCGGCAGAAAUGUUUGUUCAUGGAAGAAUGGAUGUGGGCGCGGUAGGGUGCAGAGGGAGUUAGGCACAGAGGCCGUACACCGGAAUAGAAAGGGUCCGAUCCCCUUCUCUCUUCUUCGCCUCAAACGACGCACUCAAGGAUCCGCAGCAUCGAAGAGAGAGACGCACGCACAUACGUGUGCACAUACGUACACUACUCCCUUCAGCCACUUUAAGCAUAGGCGUGUACGUGUUCUCCUUUGUCCUGCUCGCUCCUCGCACCACGUUUGCUUGUCUUCCCGCCCCCGCCCCGCUCUCUCGCUUUCUUUUCUUUUGCGCAUGCACCAGGAUUGUACAUGUACGUGCCUUUCUUUUUCUCCCCAUCUUUUUCCCGUCACCCAAACACACCCGUCUUUGCUGGCUGGCGAAGGCGGCAGGCGUGCAUACGUACACAAGGGCGGAAGGGGAGAACAGAGAUGGUACUUGAUGCUAUAAGGACACACACACACACACACACACACACGACGCCAAACCUGCUGUGUUGUCUCUGCGCGCUUCAGAGGAGAGCGCAUGCGCGCAUCCGUCACCUCCUCUCUUUCGCUUGCGCGUCUGCCGGCGCGAAGGUGCCGUAACGCUUUGCCUCGCGUGUACGUGUUUCGUGCGCUGCGCUGCAUCGAUGCCCCUUUCCGUCCGUCCACGCUGCUCGUCUUACUGAGUCGCAUCUUUCCCCUUUCAACGUACACGCAAGCAAAAGAAAAAGGAGUCCGAAGAGGCACAAACAGGCAAAAAGGUAAAGCAGGGAGAGAAGCACUCGAUCUCCUUUCACACCGCCUCUUUUUGUUAUCGGCAUGUGUGUGUGUGUGUGCCUUUUCUGUAUUUGUAACGGGCGUGGGCGACUUCGUCUCGUCUUCUCUCCUUCCAGACAGGAAUCCACUCUUUGACCUGCGUGCGCUUCUCUGCUCUUUUUUUUUCCGCUUCACCGUGCUCCUUGUUGACCUUUUCUGCGUAGGCUUGCCUCUUCUUUUUUUUUUUGUUGCCUUUUGCCCUUGUGUGUAUGUGUGCUUCGUGUCGACGUCUUUUGCGUCUCUUUGCUUGUGCACCUCUGCAGCGCUGAUCACUGUUGCGUGUGCGAACUUCUCACCCCCUUCUCGUUUGCUUUCUGUCUGUCUGUCUCUUCCCUACCAAGGGAGGCUUGCUCUUAUCCGUGCCGCUGUGUGUGUGUGUGUGCUUGGUCUCUUUUUCUCCCCCUUUUUACCCGUCUUUCCUCUGUACGAUUUUUUUUUGUUGUGGUUGUCUCCCACUGCGGCUGGCGCUGAUGAUGGCGCAUACCAUAGACCCCACUAUCUUCGUUGUCUUUUCCCCGUUUUCCUUCCUCUUGGACUGCAAUAAAGCGCUCUCCCACGUUGACCUCGUUUUCUUUCGGAUGCUCUGGUUCGUGUUCCCGUACUUCGUCCGACUCUGCGCUAACCCUUUUUUGUCUGUUCGGUUAUGCUCCUCUCCUUCUUUCGUUUGCUUUGCUGCCUUGUCUCUGCAGGAGCGGUGCGUGUACAGCUCAGGCAGCGCAGCGAGUUUCCGAAUGCGUUUGUGCGCGUGUCGGUGCGCCUGCUGUCACGCGAUCAAGUCUGACCCCUCUCUGUCUCAGUGCUUUCGGCUCUGUGUGUCGCACCAGCGAUUACUUUUUUUUUGUGUUUUUUUUUUUUUCACUCAACGCCCAUGUAUCUCUUUCUCUCUCACUCCUUAUCUCGCCUCUCUGGAGCACUGCUGCUGUGUCCGCACACUGGUGAGUCGGAAGGCCCACGCAAGGCACAGACACACAGGCACACACAGACAAAAAAUGUAGAGACCAUGUCGGUGAUGGAUGGCUCGAUGCUGUGCCGGUGUCUCUGUGUGGACGUUUUCGUGCCAUGCCGAAACAUAUCGUCGCUUCCCUUUUUCGCUUUUUUUUUUCGCGCUCGCGAUUCGCCUUCCAUUCAUGCAUACAUGUCGUUUAUAUAUAUAUAUAUGUGCCACAACGGCAAAAAAAUCAAUAGAAGCAAGCGCAUGAACACACGUAUGCACAUCUGCGCAGGCAGAUGUAUGGAACCGCUAGCAGGGUAGAAGGCAGGGGCAAUGUGUAGCUGCAGGUGAGAGAUCUCAUAUCCGCCCCACGAAUACCCUCUUCCGAAAAAAAAAGCGAUGACGACAUUGGAUCCCUUCUUUUCUCUCAGAGUGUCGGCUACAUUUACCUCCUUUUACUGCUGAGAGAUCUCCCUUUUUUUUUCUAUGUGUGUGUGUCUUCCCCUUGUUUGGCUGGUGCUGCUGUCGAUCCUGAGGUGUGUGCUCCUGUCGUUUCUGCUUUGACCUCCCUCUUUUUGUGUCUGCAUUCAGACAUUUCUUCUUCUGUUUUUUUUUUCCCGCUGCUUUCCACAGCUUGUCCUCCACCUCCCCCCACCAAAAGGAUACAUGACGCUCUCUCUCUGUCGACAUGCGCCCCGUGCCUGCAUCUGCGUGACUCUCUCUAUUUUUCUCUCUCUGUGUCUUCAGCCUCCUCGUCUUCUCCCCUUUUAGCUGCCCACACGCUGCACACGAGGGCCUCUUCCAACCCCCUCCUUCACUCCUUUCUCUCUUUAUUAGACAUGCAAUGAAAGAAGCGUCAACAAGCAAAGAAAAUGAAAAGGAACGGAUGCCACCCUCACCUUACCUAGCCUCCUUCCGUCUUUUGGUAUGCCCUUUUCUUUCACCCGUGUGUGCUCGUACAUGUAUGUAGCUGCGACCUGAGUCUUUUCGGUUGGAUGCUCAAUUACUUUUCUCUCUCUCGCUUGCUGUCGUGCCCUCAUUCAGAUUCGCCGUAUGGAGGCUCAUUGCUCGAUCAGCUGUCUUCUCGUCCCACUCGUCUCUCCCUUUUUCUUUGCUUAUCUCGUAGUACUGUGUUAAACGGAUCGAGAGAGCUACUUGUCAGAAGGGAAGGAAAAAAAAAGAAGCAAGCAAAUGAGAGGAAAAAAAACCGAGAGAGCAGAAACGAGAGAUCGACGAGGCUGGAGGGGGAAGGCACGGUAUGUGGCCAG
rnacentral:misc_RNA from 1 species